GACAGAGGUGCCAAGCGUUUAGGCGGAAUCACUGGGCUUAAAGCGUGUGUAGGCGGGCGAUCAAGUACCUUGUGAAAUCCCACGGCUCAACCGUGGAACUGCUGGGUAUACUGGUUGUCUUGAGGCCAGCUAGGGGCGAGCGGAACAGACGGUGGAGCGGUGAAAUGCGUAGAGUAUCGUCUGGAACGCCGAAGGUGAAAACAGCUCGCUGGGGCUGCGCUGACGC
rnacentral:rRNA from 1 species